rnacentral:rRNA from 1 species
AACAAACGCUGGCGGUGUGCCAAACACAUGCAAGUCGUCCGAGAAAGUCGGCUUCGGCCGAUGAGUACAGUGGCGCACGGGUGAGUAACGCGUGGGUAAUCUGCCCCCCGGUCAGGAAUAACCCGCCGAAAGGCGGGCUAAUACCCGAUAACACUGACGCUCUGCGGAGUGUCUUUCAAAGAAGGCCUCUGUUUACAAGCUUUCGCCGGAGGAUGAGCCCGCGUACCAUUAGGUAGUUGGCAGGGUAAUGGCCUACCAAGGCAACGAUGGUUAGCUGGUCUGAGAGGAUGGCCAGCCACACUGGAACUGAGACACGGUCCAGACUCCUACGGGAGGCAGCAGUGAGGAAUCUUGCGCAAUGGGGGAAACCCUGACGCAGCAACGCCGCGUGAGUGAAGAAGGCCUUCGGGUCGUAAAGCUCUGUCAGAUGGGAAGAAAUGGAUGGGGGCUAAUAUCGUCCAUCCUUGACGGUACCAUCAGAGGAAGCACCGGCUAACUCCGUGCCAGCAGCCGCCGUAAUAC